UACGUAGGGGGCAAGCGUUGUCCGGAAUUAUUGGGCGUAAAGAGCUCGUAGGCGGUGUGUCGCGUCGGCCGUGAAAACCUGGGGCUUAACUCUGGGCGUGCGGUCGAUACGGGCAUCACUAGAGUUCGGCAGGGGAGACUGGAAUUCCUGGUGUGACGGUGAAAUGCGCAGAUAUCAGGAGGAACACCGGUGGCGAAGGCGGGUCUCUGGGCCGAUACUGACGCUGAGAAGCGAAAGCAUGGGGAGCGAACAGG
rnacentral:rRNA from 1 species